GACGGAGGGGGCGCUGAGAAAGCGGGAAGGGGUACGGAAAAUGAGGAGUGCGCAGACUCAGAAGGGACCUGUCCCUUUUUUUUCACCACUCCGCCUCCCUCCCCCGGCAAGGUGUGUCAUUAGUUGGGUUUGGAAUGAAGAGUAAAAGGAUAAAGAAAAUUGAGAGCCAGGAAUUCUGAGUGCUUAAAAAAAAAAAUUAUUGGUAAUGACUCUCUUCGCGAAUGACAAAAAGAAACUAAUAGAAAUAUGGGAAGUCUUCUAUGAAUUUAGGUCAAGAAAAAAUAAUCAAGAAAAAAAUGUAUUUUUCAAGGAGCUUGUGGACAAGAAAAAACUCAUAUAUACAAGAAUGUUCAAAGGAGCAUAACUAGUGAUAACAAAUAACUGAAAACAAAAUAUGUGCCAAACAAUUGGGGAAUAGUUGAACAAACUAUAAUAUAUUAACAUAUUUCAAAACUAUUGUGCUGGAAAGGAAUGAUGACAUGAAGAGUUCAGAGAAACAUGGAAUAACUUUUAUGAAAUGGCAACAGAUUGAAGAAAGUAGAACUAAAAGUAUAAUCUACACAAAGACUACAAUGAUGCAAAUAAAUUCAUUAUUGAGAG
rnacentral:lncRNA from 1 species